rnacentral:rRNA from 1 species
CGCCAGACUCCUACGGGAGGCAGCAGUGAGGAAUAUUGGUCAAUGGCCGGAAGGCUGAACCAGCCAAGUCGCGUGAGGGAAUAAGGCUCUAUGGGUCGUAAACCUCUUUUGUCAGGGAGCAAAGGCGUCCACGUGUGGACGAGAGGAGAGUACCUGAAGAAAAAGCAUCGGCUAACUCCGUGCCAGCAGCCGCGGUAAUACGGAGGAUGCGAGCGUUAUCCGGAUUUAUUGGGUUUAAAGGGUGCGUAGGCGGAGUGUCAAGUCAGCGGUAAAAUUUCGGGGCUCAACCCCGUCGUGCCGUUGAAACUGGCGUUCUUGAGUGGGCGAGAAGUACGCGGAAUGCGUGGUGUAGCGGUGAAAUGCAUAGAUAUCACGCAGAACCCCGAUUGCGAAGGCAGCGUACCGGCGCCCGACUGACGCUGAAGCACGAAAGCGUGGGUAUCGAACAGGAUUAGAUACCCGGGUAG